GAAGCCCCUUGAAGGGCCAGGGG
rnacentral:miRNA from 1 species